GACGAACCGAGCGAACGUUGUUCGGAAUAACUGGGCUUAAAGGGCGCGUAGGCGGGCCGCCAAGUUCGAGGUGAAAUCCUCCGGCUCAACCGGAGAACUGCCUCGAAUACUGGAGGCCUCGAGGCGGGUAGGGGCACGCGGAACUGUGGGUGGAGCGGUGAAAUGCGUUGAUAUCCACAGGAACUCCGGUGGCGAAGGCGGCGUGCUGGACCCGAUCUGACGCUGAGGUGCGAAAGCGUGGGGAGCAAACAGG
rnacentral:rRNA from 1 species